GAUGAACGCUGGCGGCGUGCUUAACACAUGCAAGUCGAACGAUGAAACCUAGCUUGCUAGGUCGAUUAGUGGCGAACGGGUGAGUAACACGUGACUAACCUGCCCCUUUCUCUGGGAUAACGCUCCGAAAGGAGUGCUAAUACCGGAUACUCACACCUAGGCACAUGCCUUGGCGUGGAAAGUUUUUCGGAAAGGGAUGGAGUCGCGGCCUAUCAGCUUGUUGGUGAGGUAACGGCUCACCAAGGCGACGACGGGUAGCCGGCCUGAGAGGGGGACCGGCCACACUGGGACUGAGACACGGCCCAGACUCCUACGGGAGGCAGCAGUGGGGAAUAUUGCACAAUGGGCGCAAGCCUGAUGCAGCGACGCCGCGUGAGGGAUGAAGGUCUUCGGAUUGUAAACCUCUUUCAGCACCGACGAAGCGCAAGUGACGGUAGGUGCAGAAGAAGGACCGGCCAACUACGUGCCAGCCGCCGCCGUAA
rnacentral:rRNA from 1 species